GAUGAAGAACGCAGCGAAAUGCGAUAAGUAAUGUGAAUUGCAGAAUUCAGUGAUUCAUCGAAUCUUUGAACGCACAUUGCGCCCGCCAGUAUUCUGGCGGGCAUGCCUGUCCGAGCGUCAUUUCAACCAUCAAGCCCCCGGGCUUGUGUUGGGGACCUGCGGCUGCCCGCAGGCCCUGAAAACCAGUGGCGGGCUCGCUGUCACACCGAGCGUAGUAGCAAUCACCUCGCUCAGGGCGUGCUGCGGGUUCCGGCCGUUAAACAGCCUUACAAAACCCAAGGUUGACCUCGGAUCAGGUAGGAAGACCCGCUGAACUUAAGCAUAUCAAUAAGCGGAGGA
rnacentral:misc_RNA from 1 species